rnacentral:piRNA from 1 species
UCUCUGUCCCUGGUGCUUGCAGGAUGGC